rnacentral:rRNA from 1 species
AGCGCGCCUUCGGGUGAGCCGCGGACGGUAUAGUAACGCGUGGGAACGUGCCCUUCUCUACGGAAUAGCCUCUGGAAAACGGAGAGUAAUAACGUAUACAGCCCUUUGGGGGAAAGAUUUAUCAGGAGAAGGAUCGGACCGCGAUUAGAUUAGGUAGUUGGUAGGGGUAACGGCCUACCAAGCCUACGAUCUAUAGAUGGUUUUAGAGGAUGAUCAGCAACACUGGGAAUGAGACACUGACCAAACUCCUAAAAGGAUAGCAAGCAGAUGGGGAAAUCUUAAUCACAAUUGGGGGGCACAACUGAAUCUUAGCACAAUGACCGACGUGAAGUGAUGAACAGGCAUUAAGGGUC